rnacentral:rRNA from 1 species
UACGUAGGGUGCAAGCGUUAAUCGGAAUUACUGGGCGUAAAGCGUGCGCAGGCGGUCUUGCAAGACAGAUGUGAAAUCCCCGGGCUCAACCUGGGAACUGCAUUUGUGACUGCACGGCUGGAGUGCGGCAGAGGGGGAUGGAAUUCCGCGUGUAGCAGUGAAAUGCGUAGAUAUGCGGAGGAACACCGAUGGCGAAGGCAAUCCCCUGGGCCUGCACUGACGCUCAUGCACGAAAGCGUGGGGAGCAAACAGG